AGUGAACGCUGGCGGCAGGCCUAACACAUGCAAGUCGAGCGGCAGCGCGGGGGCAACCCUGGCGGCGAGCGGCGGACGGGUGAGGAAUGCGUCGGAAUCUGCCUCUUUGUGGGGGAUAACGUAGGGAAACUUACGCUAAUACCGCAUACGACCUACGGGUGAAAGUGGGUGACCUUCGGGCCUCACGCAGAGAGAUGAGCCGAUGCCGGAUUAGAUAGUUGGCGGGGUAAAGGCCCACCAAGGCGACGAUCCGUAGCUGGUCUGAGAGGAUGAUCAGACACACUGGACCUGAGACACGGUCCAGACUCCUACGGGAGGCAGCGGUGGGGAAUAUUGGACAAUGGGCGCAAGCCUGAUCCGGCCAUGCCGCGUGUGUGAAGAAGGCCUUCGGGUUGUAAAGCACUUUUGUCCGGAAAGAGAAGCUUCCGAUUAAUACUCGGGAGUCAUGACGGUACCGGAAGAAUAAGCACCGGCUAACUUCGUGCCAGCAGCCGCCGUAACAC
rnacentral:rRNA from 1 species